rnacentral:rRNA from 1 species
UACGGGGGGGGCAAGCGUUGCUCGGAAUCACUGGGCGUAAAGGGUGCGUAGGCGGGUCUUUAAGUCAGGGGUGAAAUCCUGGAGCUCAACUCCAGAACUGCCUUUGAUACUGAAGAUCUUGAGUUCGGGAGAGGUGAGUGGAACUGCGAGUGUAGAGGUGAAAUUCGUAGAUAUUCGCAAGAACACCAGUGGCGAAGGCGGCUCACUGGACCGGUAUUGACGCUGAGGUGCGAAAGCGUGGGGAGCAAACAGG